rnacentral:rRNA from 1 species
CCCGCUGAACUUAAGCAUAUCAAUAAGCGGAGGAAAAGAAACUAACAAGGAUUCCCCCAGUAACUGCGAGUGAAGAGGGAAGAGCUCAAAUUUAGAAUCUGGUAGUCUUUGGCUGCCCGAGUUGUAAAUUAGAGAAGUGUUAUCCGCGCUGGACUGUGCAUAAGUCUCUUGGAAAAGGGCAUCAUAGAGGGUGACAAUCCCGUCUUUGGCACAGACUCCCAGGGCUUUUGUGAUACGCUCUCGAUGAGUCGAGUUGUUUGGGAAUGCAGCUCUAAAUGGGUGGUAAAUUCCAUCUAAAGCUAAAUAUUGGCGAGAAACCGAUAGCGCACAAGUACCGUGAGGGAAAGAUGAAAAGAACUUUGAAAAGAGAGUUAAACAGUACGUGAAAUUGCUGAAAGGGAAACGCUUGAAGUCAGUCACGUCUGCCAGGACUCAGCCUUGCUUCUGCUUGGUGUACUUUCUGGUUUGACGGGCCAACAUCAAUUUUGACCGUUGGAGAAAGGCUUUGGGAAUGUGGCACCCUCGGGUGUGUUAUAGCCCUUUGUCGUAUACAACGGUUGGGAUUGAGGACCGCAGCACGCCUUCAUGGCCGGGGUUCGCCCACGUACGUGCUUAGGAUGUUGGCAUAAUGGCUUUAAGCGACCCGUCUUGAAACACGG